rnacentral:rRNA from 1 species
UACAGGGGGGGCAAGCGUUGUUCGGAAUUACUGGGCGUAAAGGGCUCGUAGGCGGCCAACUAAGUCACACGUGAAAUCCCCGGGCUUAACCUGGGAACUGCAUUUGUGACUGCAUAGCUAGAGUACGGUAGAGGGGGAUGGAAUUCCGCGUGUAGCAGUGAAAUGCGUAGAUAUGCGGAGGAACACCGAUGGCGAAGGCAAUCCCCUGGACCUGUACUGACGCGCAUGCACGAAAGCGUGGGGAGCAAACAGG